AUUCGCCCUUAGAGUUUGAUUACGGCUCAGAUUGAACGCUGGCGGCGUGCCUUACACAUGCAAGUCGAACGUGAAAGUACUUUCGGGUACGAGUAAAGUGGCGCACGGGUGAGUAACGCGUGGAUAAUCUACCAAGAAGUUUGGGAUAACAGCUGGAAACGGCUGCUAAUACCGAAUACGCUGCAUAUCUAUCUUAUGUGGGAAAGAUGGCCUCUGCAUAUGCUGUUGCUUUUUGAUGAGUCCGCGUACCAUUAGCUGGUUGGUGGGGUAAAGGCCUACCAAGGCGACGAUGGUUAACUGGUCUGAGAGGAUGAUCAGUCACACUGGAACUGGAACACGGUCCAGACUCCUACGGGAGGCAGCAGUGGGGAAUAUUGCGCAAUGGGCGAAAGCCUGACGCAGCGACGCCGCGUGAGGGAUGAAGGUCUUCGGAUCGUAAACCUCUGUCAGCAGGGAAAAACGGUCACUGUGCUAA
rnacentral:rRNA from 1 species